GCAUCUAUCUUCGGUUUUUUCAUCAGUUUUCCAUGACGUUGAUGCCGUUAAUGAAUGCUGAUAAAGAAAAUAUUUUAAUUCCAAGGGAAAAAAGACGGAUAUAUAGAAGUAAAAACUUGGGAUACAUAAAGAGAGAGAGAAACUAAAUUGUUUACUGGCUUAAUACGAGGUUAAGAUUAAGCCUACAUUACACCUACCUACACGGACAAAUCUACAUUAUCUACAUUACUUCUACAUUCGAUAACUCGAUUAACGCUUAAUAAAAGAGCAAAUUAAAGGUGUGCAUAGAAUUAACAAAAUUACAAUGCCGAAAAUUAAACCCUUUCGAGAUUUAUCUCGCCGGCAGCAAGCUCGCCG